rnacentral:rRNA from 1 species
UGGGGAAUAUUGCACAAUGGGGGGAAACCCUGAUGCAGCAACGCCGCGUGAAGGAAGACGGUCUUCGGAUUGUAAACUUUUGUUCUUGGUGAAGAAGAAUGACGGUAGCCAAGGAGGAAGCCACGGCUAACUACGUGCCAGCAGCCGCGGUAAUACGUAGGUGGCAAGCGUUGUCCGGAAUUACUGGGUGUAAAGGGAGUGUAGGCGGGACUGUAAGUCAGAUGUGAAAUAUGCCGGCUCAACUGGCAGACUGCAUUUGAAACUGUGGUUCUUGAGUGAAGUAGAGGUAAGCGGAAUUCCUGGUGUAGCGGUGAAAUGCGUAGAUAUCAGGAGGAACAUCAGUGGCGAAGGCGGCUUACUGGGCUUUAACUGACGCUGAGGCUCGAAAGCGUGGGGAGCAAACAGGAUUAGAUACCCUGGUAGU